GAUCCUGGCUCAGGAUGAACGCUAGCUACAGGCUUAACACAUGCAAGUCGAGGGGCAGCAUGGUCUUAGCUUGCUAAGGCCGAUGGCGACCGGCGCACGGGUGAGUAACACGUAUCCAACCUGCCGUCUACUCUUGGACAGCCUUCUGAAAGGAAGAUUAAUACAAGAUGGCAUCAUGAGUCCGCAUGUUCACAUGAUUAAAAGGUAUUCCGGUAGACGAUGGGGAUACGUU
rnacentral:rRNA from 1 species